UACGUAGGAGGCAAGCGUUGUCCGGAAUCACUGGGCGUAAAGCGCGUGUAGGUGGUGGGACAAGUCUGCUGUGAAAGCGCCUGGCUUAACCGGGCGAGGUCGGCGGAAACUGUUCGACUCGAGGCCGGUAGAGGGGGGUGGAAUUCCCGGUGUAGUGGUGAAAUGCGUAGAGAUCGGGAGGAACACCUGUGGCGAAGGCGGCCCCCUGGGCCGGGCCUGACACUGAGACGCGAAGGCGUGGGGAGCGAACGGG
rnacentral:rRNA from 1 species